UACGUAGGCAGCAAGCGUUGUCCGGAAUCAUUGGGCGUAAAGAGCGUGUAGGCGGCUUGUUAAGUCUUGCGUGAAAUCUCGGGGCUCAACCCCGAGCGGUCGUGAGAAACUGGCAGGCUAGAGUGCGGGAGAGGAGAGUGGAAUUCCUGGUGUAGCGGUGAAAUGCGCAGAUAUCAGGAAGAACACCCGUGGCGAAGGCGGCUCUCUGGAACGCAACUGACGCUGAGACGCGAAAGCGUGGGGAGCAAACAGG
rnacentral:rRNA from 1 species